UACGUAGGGCGCAAGCGUUGUCCGGAAUUAUUGGGCGUAAAGAGCUCGUAGGCGGCUUGUCGCGUCUGCUGUGAAAGCCCGGGGCUUAACUCCGGGUGUGCAGUGGGUACGGGCAGGCUAGAGUGCAGUAGGGGUAACUGGAAUUCCUGGUGUAGCGGUGAAAUGCGCAGAUAUCAGGAGGAACACCGAUGGCGAAGGCAGGUUACUGGGCUGUUACUGACGCUGAGGAGCGAAAGCAUGGGGAGCGAACAGG
rnacentral:ncRNA from 2 species